GUCAAUGGUGCAGUGGUAUGCACGGUUGUCUCAUGAACAGCGUGGCCGUGGUUCUAGUCCCGGCAGUGGCG